CAGAAAAGUGGUUUUUAAAUUAGUUUCAAGUAUACAAUAUAGUGUUUACACCCUAUCUUUUUUUUUUUUUUUACAUAAGUAUUCAGAAGAAAACCCCGUAUUUCCUAUCAUUUCACGGACAAAUACUUCAGUUGGUAUUUCUAACAGCAGGAAUUGAGGCUAAGAAGCAGAAAAAAGAACAAAGCAAUAAAAAGGGUAUCAACCAC